rnacentral:rRNA from 1 species
UACGUAGGGUGCGAGCGUUGUCCGGAAUUAUUGGGCGUAAAGAGCUUGUAGGUGGUUUUGUCGCGUCUGCUGUGAAAAAUCCGAGGCUCAACCUCGGACUUGCAGUGGGUACGGGCAGACUAGAGUCCGGAAGAGGAGAAUGGAAUUCCUGGUGUAGCGGUGAAAUGCGCAGAUAUCAGGAAGAACACCCGUGGCGAAGGCGGCUCUCUGGUACGUGAC